rnacentral:rRNA from 1 species
UGGGGAAUAUUGCACAAUGGGCGCAAGCCUGAUGCAGCCAUGCCGCGUGUAUGAAGAAGGCCUUCGGGUUGUAAAGUACUUUCAGGCGGGAGGAAGGUGGUAAGGUUAAUAACCUUAUCAAUUGACGUUACCGACAGAAGAAGCACCGGCUAACUCCGUGCCAGCAGCCGCGGUAAUACGGAGGGUGCAAGCGUUAAUCGGAAUUACUGGGCGUAAAGCGCACGCAGGCGGUUGAUUGAGUCAGAUGUGAAAUCCCCGGGCUUAACCCGGGAAUUGCAUCUGAUACUGGUCAGCUAGAGUCUUGUAGAGGGGGGUAGAAUUCCAUGUGUAGCGGUGAAAUGCGUAGAGAUGUGGAGGAAUACCGGUGGCGAAGGCGGCCCCCUGGACAAAGACUGACGCUCAGGUGCGAAAGCGUGGGGAGCAAACAGG